rnacentral:tRNA from 1 species
GCGCGGGUGGUGGAAUUGGCAGACACGUACGUUUGAGGGGCGUAUGGCUUCGGCCUUGUGGGUUCAAAUCCCACCCCGCGCACCA